AUCUACGCCCAUAGCACCCUGAAUGCACCCGAUCUCGUCUGAUGUCAGAAGCUAAGCAGAGUCAGGCCUGGUUAGUACUUGGAUGGGAGACAAAAAGAGGACGCCACAGCAAAAGAAU
ensembl:rRNA 5S_rRNA 5S ribosomal RNA